ensembl:lncRNA
CGUCGCGUUGUGAUGACGCGCACGGACAAGCGACGCCAGUGUCAGAGACAGAGAGCGCAGGCUCCCUCCCUACCUACCUACCUACCUACCCGCGAGUGGAAGUGAACUUUUGCUCGAUCUAACCGCCUUUGCAUGCUACCGUUUCGGCUUUAUGCUUUCCGUCGCUGUCGCUGGGUGCAGGAGGCGGUGCUGCCGGUCACAUUUAGGGGUUGACUCCCUUUUUUUAAAGGCUUUUUUUGGGAGACCUGGGAGCUGCUAGAAUACACCCACAGCACUGACAGACCGCGGGAAAAUGUCGUUACUUCCUGUGCAAUGAAGUCUUGGCGCGACAUUACGGUUGUAAACAACUGCAGGACACACAACAAUACUCAAGUAUUCCUUAAUGAUCUAAGCCACAGAAUUAUUUAGGGAUGGAGGACAUUGACGCCAAUGAUGCUUCUGGCCUUUUGGUACCUGAUGGAACCAAUGAAGAUUCGGUGGAUAUCUAUGAUGGACUGGAUGUUGGAUUUAGCAGCGGUGCAGGUGAACAUUCCUCAUAAAUGUUUUCACUUUGAUUUUCCAUAUAUAUUAUUAUUAUUAUCAAAUGUUACUGUGUGUAUAAUAAACAUUUAAUCCUUUU